rnacentral:rRNA from 1 species
UGGGGAAUAUUGGACAAUGGGCGAAAGCCUGAUCCAGCAAUGCCGCGUGAGUGAUGAAGGCCUUAGGGUUGUAAAGCUCUUUUACCCGGGAUGAUAAUGACAGUACCGGGAGAAUAAGCUCCGGCUAACUCCGUGCCAGCAGCCGCGGUAAUACGGAGGGAGCUAGCGUUGUUCGGAAUUACUGGGCGUAAAGCGCGCGUAGGCGGCUAUUUAAGUCAGGGGUGAAAUCCCGGGGCUCAACCCCGGAACUGCCCUUGAAACUGGAUAGCUAGAAUCCUGGAGAGGCGAGUGGAAUUCCGAGUGUAGAGGUGAAAUUCGUAGAUAUUCGGAAGAACACCAGUGGCGAAGGCGACUCGCUGGACAGGUAUUGACGCUGAGGUGCGAAAGCGUGGGGAGCAAACA